GGAUGUUGCGUAAAGGGAAAGGUCGUAGUCAAACCCCACAGCCACGCGAACUCUAAGUCAGCCACGAAUAGGCUACCCCAACUAACGGCGGGAAUGACUCCACGGAGGGUGUAAGACCCGUGUGGGCGCGUGUUAAAGCUGUGUGGGCUCGGCCUCUCUUCCCUGAGAGUCGCGUUGCUUGAGCAUGCAGCGCUAAGCAGGUCGUAAACUCGAUCUAAGGCUAAAUAUGUCCACAGAACCGAUAGCGAACAAGUACCGUGAGGGAAAGUUGAAAAGCACUCUGGAGAGAGAGUCAAAAGACCGUGAAACCGCUCAGAGUAUAAGCCCAUGGCAGCUUGGAAGGCAUAUCGCUAGCGGGGCAUCGGUCUUCCUUCGCGGGGAGCCGGUGUUACCUUGCUUCUGUUGUGGCUCGUUAAGGUAGGGGGGUCAAGUCCACAUCCCGCCGCCGUGUGGGGGGUUCUUGGGGGUGUUGUGGUUUCUCGGUUGGCUUCGGCUGGCCGGGGGGCUCUUCGUGCUCGGUUCCUCUUUAGACACGAACGUUCAGACUCAGUUGCAAGACGCGAUAACCAGCCCACCACGGCACGUUGUGAGGUCACCCACAGGCUCGACUUUCGAUCGUGAACCUUGACGCCGAGCAAGCACAAUGCGUGUCGCAAAGGUUCCUAACCAGGCAAUGGCGCCAGGAUCGUGGAACGACACGCGCUCAACAGUCAGGUUCGGGCGAAGACAGAGUUCUGGUAUGAUCCUCUUGCGACGAGCCGCUUUCUGGCCGAUAUCCGAUGCUCAGGUCUCCCGCAUGUGCCGCGGGAGAUCGCUUUGACGGUCUGGAUCUCUUACGAGUCCUCUCAGUCGGGCAACGGAUAGAGUGGUGUAAAGUCCAAGCCCAUCGGUCACGUCUCGAAACACGGGCCAAGGAGUAUAGCAUGUGUGCAAGUCUAAGAGUCUCACAAAACUCGAAGGCGAAGUGAAAGCAAGUAAGCGGCGGGUGAUCUACGGAGAGAUCCCGUCAGCUAGAGGGGCCCCGAGGGCCUCU
rnacentral:rRNA from 1 species